UUCUCACCUCUGCCAUACUCUUCUUCCACAAGUCGUUUGAAGAGUUAAUGACCAUUAAUGGAGUUUAAUGCAAUCCAGGAAACAAAAUUCUGCGAGGAGCGUCUCGGAGAGCAGGUGUCCGUGGGAAUACACGCAGCCCUCGCACUUUCAGAGACGUUAUGCUUUCACGCAAUAGCGCAAACACCGACGGCUGCCUCUCCCAACCUUAUGGAAAUUUAAUGCAAUUAAUUAGCCUUGCGCGUACGUCUGCUUCGCCGUUUACGCGUUUUACUUGUUCUCAUACCAGCAUGCAACAAGUCGCUAUCUGCCUUCGUACAAUAUCCGCGUAGCGGGUAUUAUAAUUCUAUUUCAGAACAUGCGCAUAUGUCAAAUCGAGCUUGAACGACCAGACAUCUGAAUUUAUGUACGAUCGAUCUAGCAUGUGACAUACUGUCAAACGUUUAGAUGGAUUUUUUUCUUGAACCUCGCGAGAUUAUGCCAUUACAAAAGUUUAUCCUCCUCGCGGUUGUUCCCCCUUGAUGAAUUUUUGAUCAACGCAAGCGCGGUCGCAACAGGUUGCUUUCUGAGGCCGGGUAGUCUUUAGUCCAGGCAUCGCAUAAUUUUCCCCUCGGCCGGAAAGUGGAGCCGACGCAACCAUGGUGGGAUCUGGUACUUGAUGAGGAUAUGCUAGGCAUGGUCAGCGAAGGCGCAUGAGGGGAAUAGUAGUGGGGAUCGAAAUACGGGCGGAAAGGAGGGGAAGCGAGCCGUGAGGGAAAAAUUAUGCGCACCCUGCUUUAGUCUGCUCUCGAAGACUGCGUGGUGAACAUCGCGACCCUCUAACUUACAAUUAGCGUCAAAUAAAAAGGUAUUAUUAAUGGUUGAAGAUCGCAUGACACGAUCCGUGAUUGUGCUGCACGUAAAUCGCAACUUUCGGGUCACAUUAGAAUAAACGUGACGUCUGUAAUACGUACUGGUUGUACAGGCACAUGUUACUAGGAUUGUUCUGAGGUAUAGUAUUGCCAUUCAGUAGGAACAGCUGCUCUUUAUAGGUCCCCUGCAUGAGGAAUAAUAACGGUGUCUGCGCUGUCAGGAAAAUUAUAUGAAAACGUGUGUUGUCUACUGCAGCAUUCUAUUCGGAAACUUGUAUCAUAAAUGCGACGCGUCGAUUUAUCUUGCAGAAAUUGUACACACUUUACUUUUAAUAGCUUCUUGCACGUUGCACUUACUCUAUAAGUAUGUUACGUUAUACGUGUGCAAUAGUAAUAUGACGCAACGAACGCAUUGCAAUCGAUAUAAUACGCUGUUAACGUUAUUUAUUUUUCUAACAAUUACAGGAUGAAUAGUAUUUACUAUUUAAUAAAUUCAAUAAUAAUUAA